CGCGAUGCGGGUAGUCCGGAAUCAGCGGUGAAAUGCGUUGGUCACGCAAGUGAAUUAAUAUACCACGCUGUUUGCUCAUGCCGCGUCUCAUAAUGGCUUUUUUCACUAAGCCCGCAUUCCGUGAAAUUUUUGAGCCGAUAGUAAAUGAGCAUUAGUGCUGCCUACGAAUUGUUUAGAAAUUUUCUUGAUGUGUGAGUCUCCGAAUUAUGUCUAAAAAGUGUUCUUUGGAUAAUGAUGUGGAUUGCAAACACUAGCUUCCCAACAGAGGCUGGCUCGUUUAGAAUGGCACAAAUCUGAAACUUCAUGCAAUGUGCUACAGGAACGAUCGCCUGGUGUGACAUCUUGGUUCUGCCAGUCGCACGGUUUGUAACCAAUCCUACAACGAAUACGGAGCAACGGCGGCUCUUGCAUUGGAAUGGGAACUUCUGAAUGGGUCCUUUUAAUCACGAAGGUACGCCUAUAUCCAAUGGCUCCCUCGAAACGGGGAUUGUUUGGUGCUCUCAAACGACGACGUCGUGGA